rnacentral:tRNA from 1 species
GCCUUCGUGGUGUAGUGGUCAGCACGCUCGACGCGUAACCGAGAGUUCCGUGGUUCGAUUCCCGGCCAAGGCG